GUUCUUGGUUCAGCAUGCAGGCUCCCAGUUUCCCUGAUCUAAGAAGCUAAGCAGCAUCAGCCCUGGUUAGUUUUUGGAUGGGAGACCACCAGGAAAUCCUAGAAUUAUAAAUU
rnacentral:rRNA from 1 species